GAUGAACGCUGGCUACAGGCUUAACACAUGCAAGUCGAGGGGAAACGACGGGGAAGCUUGCUUCCCCGGGCGUCGACCGGCGCACGGGUGAGUAACGCGUAUCCAACCUGCCUCUGACUGAGGGAUAACCCGUCGAAAGUCGGCCUAAUACCUCAUGGCAUCGUCUGCGGGCAUCCAACGACGAUUAAAGAUUUCAUCGGUCAGAGAUGGGGAUGCGUCUGAUUAGCUUGUUGGCGGGGUAACGGCCCACCAAGGCGACGAUCAGUAGGGGUUCUGAGAGGAAGGUACCCCACAUUGGAGCUGAGACACGGUCCAAACUCCUACGGGAGGCAGCAGUGAGGAAUAUUGGUCAAUGGGCGAGAGCCUGAACCAGCCAAGUAGCGUGCAGGAUGACGGCCCUAUGGGUUGUAAACUGCUUUUAUGCGGGGAUAAAGUGAGGGACGUGUCCUUCAUUGCAGGUACCGCAUGAAUAAGGACCGGCUAAUUCCGUG
rnacentral:rRNA from 1 species